ACACCAGACCCUCGACCCUGACCUGUUCGAUCCCCAAUCUCAAUCUCACCUCUCUCUCUCUAUCUCGCCACCCACACACCCUGACCCUAACCCUAACCCGACCGCGCCGCCGCUCCCAACCUGGGCGCCUCCGCCCCAAACCACCCGCCGGUCCCCUCGCGCCACCACAUCUCGGACCCCGGUCUCCCUUCCCUUAGUCCGCAGUAGCAGCAGCGCCGUCUGCGAUGGAGGAGCACCGUCUGCCGCCGAGGAACAGCGCCGUCCGCCACCAAGGAUCUGCCGCGCGCCGGGAACAGCAGCACCAUACGCCGGAGGAUCCGCCGCACCGACUUCUGUUGAGGAGCAGCCCGCCGUUCUUCUUCCUCCACCGGCGACCCCUGUCCCGGCCCCGCCUCCAGAUCUCAACAAAACAAUACCCCUGAAGAUGCGUGGAGUAGGCUACUCCUCUGACCAUAACAAUUGGCUGCUAUUGACGACGCGAGGUGGUCUUAUAUGUUCAGUUCUUAAUUAUCAUUUCAAAUCCUUGGACUAGUGGCUGGGAUCGUAUUGGUUAUUUGGAGAUACCUAUUUGUACCGAAGUUCAGUUAGUAAGUUGAAUAUAGCCCUCUUGUUAUAGCCAUGUGCAGUUGAAUUGAAUAUUUUCGGUCCGCUGCUCACUCUUGAUUUUUGCUAAAAAUCUAAAAUCCUUGGUCAGUGGCAUGUUAAUUAUACAUUGCUCGCUAGUUCUAUGCACAUAAAAUACUUGGUUGGGACUGAAAAUUGUAGCACUUGAGCAAGAAAGGCUGACUACCAAUUCAUUAGCAUGUCAAUAAAGUCAAUCUGGUCUUCCUCUAGGAACUUGUUAGGGCUCAUUAAUAGCAUUGUUUUGCUCACUGAAAUAGGAGAGGAGCUGCACAAGAAAGAAAAAGGACAAAUGGCCAAGUACACUUGGCGGAAGAUUGACGAAACAGAGAGGCAGAGAGCAUAGGAACAUUAUCUCAGCUGUCGUUCAUUUCAGAACAAAUCGUUGGCAUUGUACCUUCAAAGGACUAUCCUUUUGCCUACCGAGCACACAAAACAAAUGUGUCUAUGUAUUUAUUUAAGUGAAACAACAUGCUCCCAUUUUUGGUCAAUCGGUGGAUCUGACUAAUACAUAACUACAUAUAUAUGUGUGAGGUAUUAUUCAUGUGUCAUUUUUUGUAAUUCGAGUAAGCUAAAACUGAUGGUCUCAGAUGGUUUGUGUUUUAACUUUGAUCAGAACCUGCAUCUACAAAUACUGAGUAGAGGGUUGCCUUUUGUGCAGGAAUUUGCGGCAGGAUCUCUUGCAUGUGCUCUCCGCUUGUCCUCACUCCUUAGACCUUCCCUUUGCUUAUCACCAUACAUUUUAUUGAGAGCGGUGUCAAGAUGCAUCUCCUCUGCAAAGAUGAUGGGCAGAUGGCCUAAGCUCUAGGGUCAAAUGGCGGGAAGUAUCAAGUCGAAGAUAUUAUGGCUUUGGUACAUCUUCUAUUUUCUUUAAAUGGAAUUUGAUGUCGGUUUGGUGAUCGAAGACUUGGGCUCUUCCAUAGUGUAGUGUAGAGUGAUCGAACACUUGAAGUCUCUUUUGAACUAGGCCCAUAUUUUGUAACAUGCCACAACUUGUAUGUUGAUUUGAGUAUUUUUUCAAUGGUUGUAGCAAGGAAAACUAAUGGAUCCUCUAAAUAUGUUGAAUAAAUGCAUUGGUGAAUGGCAUCUUGUGAUGAA